AUAUCACUGUGCCACUGUCUGCACACCAAUAAGUGUCACAGUUUAGUGAACCGUAGAUCCAGGAAACAGGACUCUGGACAGAGACGCCUACCACUGUGGAGCCCAGGGCCCUCCGAGACAAGGAUGAGACAAAACCUCACACGCUUUGAGGGACGCAGACGUGGAGGAGGAGGCCGGAGGCAGACACGCAUGAAAGAGCAGCACACACGGGAGCGGCUGAGGCCCCAGGGACCACGGGAACACCUGCACGAGGCCCCGGCGGGGAGGAGAGGCUGCGGGAUGCUGGAGGCUGAAACUCUGAUCACCAUAAAGCAGAUGGCUUAAAGCAAUAGAGAAGGAGUGGGACUAUUUUACAGCAUGAUUUAAAUCACUAAUAAGCCAAUUCCUACGUAAUGGAAGUCUGUAGAGCAUCAUCAUCUGUUUGUUUGGACUCCGGUCAAUUAACAUGCCAACACUGGUCUUAAAAAGAAAAAAAAAAAAAACACACACACACACACACACCAGAUGAUAGAAAUCAAAAGGAAUAAGAUUUAGACACAAAGACUGAUGGUCUGUGCAAUGAAAUGAAAACAGACCCAAGAGACAGAGGACUUGGGCUCAAGUCCUGACUCUAUUUGGUACUUGCUUCCUACCCUUGGACCUUGAUUAAGCCACUUAACCUCUCCAAUCCUGAGUUUCUUCACCUGCAAAAGGAAAUAAUAAUUGU